UUCGCAAUGCCCGAAAGGGUGACGAAGCGACGCCGCGUGUGGGAAGAAGGCCUUCGGGUUGUAAACCACUGUUGGGAGUUAGGAAGUGUGGAGGUGUUAAUAGCGCUUUCACUUGACUAAAGCUCCAGAGGAAGCCACGGCUAACUCUGUGCCAGCAGCCGCGGUAAUACAGAGGCGGCAAGCGUUAUUCGGAAUUAUUGGGCGUAAAGAGCACGUAGGCGGCUCUGCAAGUCAGCUGUGAAAGCCUUCUGCUUAACGGAAGAACGGCAGUUGAAACUACAGGGCUUGAGUGCGGGAGGGGAGAGUGGAACUUCUGGUGGAGCGGUGAAAUGCGUAGAUAUCAGAAGGAACGCCGGCGGCGAAAGCGGCUCUCUGGUCCGUAACUGACGCUGAGUGUGCGAAAGCUAGGGGAGCAAACGGGAUUAGAUACCCCGGUAGUCCUAGCCGUAAACGAUGGGCACUAAGUAGAGGGGUUUU
rnacentral:rRNA from 1 species